GGGGAGGCAGCAGUGGGGAAUAUUGCACAAUGGGGGAAACCCUGAUGCAGCCAUGCCGCGUGUGUGAAGAAGGCCUUCGGGUUGUAAAGCACUUUCAGUAGGGAGGAAGGUAGUGUAGUUAACACCUGCAUUAUUUGACGUUACCUACAGAAGAAGCACCGGCUAACUCCGUGCCAGCAGCCGCGGUAAUACGGAGGGUGCGAGCGUUAAUCGGAAUUACUGGGCGUAAAGCGCAUGCAGGCGGCCUGUUAAGUCAGAUGUGAAAGCCCGGGGCUUAACCUCGGAAUUGCAUUUGAAACUGGCAGGCUAGAGUCUUGUAGAGGGGGGUAGGAAUUUCAGGUGUAGCGGUGAAAUGCGUAGAGAUCUGAAGGAAUACCAGUGGCGAAGGCGGCCCCCUGGACAAAGACUGACGCUCAGAUGCGAAAGCGUGGGGAGCAAACAGGAUUAGAUACCCUGGUAG
rnacentral:rRNA from 1 species